rnacentral:rRNA from 1 species
GGCAGGUUGAAGGUUGGGUAACACUAACUGGAGGACCGAACCGACUAAUGUUGAAAAAUUAGCGGAUGACCUGUGGCUGGGGGUGAAAGGCCAAUCAAACCGGGAGAUAGCUGGUUCUCCCCGAAAGCUAUUUAGGUAGCGCCUCGUGAAUUCAUCUCCGGGGGUAGAGCACUGUUUCGGCUAGGGGGCCAUCCCGGCUUACCAACCCGAUGCAAACUGCGAAUACCGGAGAAUGUUAUCACGGGAGACACACGGCGGGUGCUAACGUCCGUCGUGAAGAGGGAAACAACCCAGACCGCCAGCUAAGGUCCCAAAGUCAUGGUUAAGUGGGAAACGAUGUGGGAAGGCCCAGACAGCCAGGAUGUUGGCUUAGAAGCAGCCAUCAUUUAAAGAAAGCGUAAUAGCUCACUGGUCGAGUCGGCCUGCGCGGAAGAUGUAACGGGGCUAAACCAU